AUACUUAACUGGCCGGGGAGAGAUCAUGAUCAUGAAGGUGGUUCUCCCAGGACGAGGUUAGCCUAUUGCACUUGGGAUGUGCUGACACCUCCGAAAUCCGGGAUACUUGAUGGCAAAAUUUGUUGUAGUGGGCUUUUGCAUUUGUGAUCUACCCUG